AACGAACGCUGGCGGCAUGCCUUACACAUGCAAGUCGAACGGCAGCACGGGAGCAAUCCUGGUGGCGAGUGGCGAACGGGUGAGUAAUAUAUCGGAACGUGCCCAGUCGUGGGGAUAACGUAGCGAAAGUUACGCUAAUACCGCAUACGAUCUACGGAUGAAAGCGGGGGACUCGCAAGAGCCUCGCGCGAUUGGAGCGGCCGAUAUCAGAUUAGGUAGUUGGUGGGGUAAAGGCUCACCAAGCCGACGAUCUGUAGCUGGUCUGAGAGGACGACCAGCCACACUGGGACUGAGACACGGCCCAGACUCCUACGGGAGGCAGCAGUGGGGGAAUUUUGGACAAUGGGCGCAAGCCUGAUCCAGCAAUGCCGCGUGCAGGAUGAAGGCC
rnacentral:rRNA from 1 species